rnacentral:rRNA from 1 species
GACGAACGCUGGCGGCGUGCUUAACACAUGCAAGUCGAACGGUGAAGGUGGGAGCUUGCUCCUGCUGGAUCAGUGGCGAACGGGUGAGUAACACGUGAGUAACCUGCCCUUGACUCUGGGAUAAGCGUUGGAAACGACGUCUAAUACCGGAUACGAGCUUCAGCCGCAUGGCUAGGAGGUGGAAAGAUUUUGCGGUCAAGGAUGGACUCGCGGCCUAUCAGCUUGUUGGUGAGGUAAUGGCUCACCAAGGCGACGACGGGUAGCCGGCCUGUCGAGGUGACCGGCCAUACUGGGAUGGAGAGACGGCCCAGACUCCUACGAGAGGCAGCAGUGGGGAAUAUUGCACAAUGGGCGAAAGCCUGAUGCAGCAACGCCGCGUGAGGGACGACGGCCUUCGGGUUGUAAACCUCUUUUAGCAGGGAAGAAGCGCAAGUGACGGUACCUGCAGAAAAAGCACCGGCUAACUACGUGCCAGCCGCCGCCGUAA